UCAGAGCCACGGGUUGGACGUGGGCCACGUGCUUGCUAACAGGUGAGAUGAGAAACCGUGCAUUAAAGUGCACAAUGAAAUCUCUUGCCCUGCUGCGGGAGGAGAACUCGCUGCAGCUGACCGCACCGUGGAUGAGCCCAGAGGGACACAGAAGGACAGACGCGCUGCAGUUCUGCUCGUGAGGCACGAAGACGAGAACUCGAACUAGGACCAGCUGGGUGGUCUCUGUCUGGGCCCAGCCGUGGCUCUCAGGCAACCCAACAAAGCUUGGGAGACCCGUGUCACCACCAGCCACCCCUACCUCUGACCUGGCUUCUGACCAAGGCACCGGGAACGCAGUGGAUGGAAGUCUUGUGGGCGCCUGCCACUCCCGUGGGAGACCUGGGUGAAAUUCUUGGCUCUGCCUGAGUUGUGGUGGACGUUGGAGAGAGGGAGGGGAGAGUCAACAAGAGGGUGGGAGGUCUCUCCCUCCCCACCACCCAACAUUUCUGAGUACAGACAGUAAUGAAACGUGGGUGUGGUAGGCAAAUUUUAUUUUGCAUUACAUUUCUAAAAAUCCAGUCGCAGUUGGUGUAGGUCCUCCUUCCAGCCAUCCUA